GGGCCGCUAGCUCAGUCGGUAGAGCAGGGGACUUUUAAUCCCAAGGUCACAGGUUCGAAUCCUGUGCGGCCCACCA
rnacentral:tRNA from 1 species